rnacentral:lncRNA from 1 species
CGACCGUCAUCCGGGUGAUUCAUCAUGGCUGCUCUAUUUACAACAUUGUUAUAAUGCUUCAUCGGGCUCCAUUUCCGGAAUUUCCGUGAAGGUUUGUCAUGUUCUUUUAUUUUUUAAACACUUCAGAAAAGGAUCUUUCUAAAACAGUAUCGAUAAUUUAGGUUAAGGUUACGUUGCACAACUAGUGCAGGCGGGAUAACAGAGGUCGUUCAGAUGCUUGAUUCAUUAUAGUUCUUCAAUGCUUCUUUUUGUCCACAUUUGAACAAAUCAACACUCCUACUAUCUGCUUGCUAAAUUAGUUUAAUGCCUUCUCAACUCUUGUAUAUAAACAACUUUAGGUGUUAACUGUAUAUAUGUUACUGUCAUCUAUUAUUCAUUAGGGCAACCUCUUCCACCCUUGUGUUUCAUCAUCAAACCCAGCAACCCAUGUGAUUGCCUCAUACAUUGUCUUCGUGUUGUCAUUUCUUUACCUUUGUUGUUCUUAUAUUCUGCUCAUUAGUAACUUACAACAGCUAAUAAAACGAUAUUUAUUUCUCCUAAAAGAACCUGCUACACUAAAUAGACCCACCUAAUAGUCUUUUGUAGUUUGUCGGACACUGAUUUCUCUCCCUCAUUAUUCUGUUUUCACUAAGUCUUCCACAUUUCUUUUCGUUUCCCUCACUUGUCACCAACAGUUGAGCUAUUAUCGAAGGGAAUUGAAAACAAUGGAGCAGAAAACAAGCGAAAACAAUCCCGAAUAUGAUAUUUUAAACAACAUUAUUGCUUUGAAGACAGUUGACAAAUAUCAUAGCUACAAAUAUAGUAAAAUUCCAAUCCACUUGUGUCAGUCUGGCUUAUUUUUUUGUAUCUAAAUCUGUGAUAAUCCAACUUUAAAUAUUCAUUUACUCAAACGUAUAGAUAUAUAAUAUACGGAUGUGUUUGGGUGUGUACCCUUGACGUAGUGGGGAGUAAUCAAUACAUGUAAUUGAGUAUCAACUUCGAAAUAUGAUUAAUAUAUAUAUGUGUGUGUAUAUAUAUAUAUAUAUAUUGUGUCUGUGUAUAAUUCCUGAAAAAUGUAUAUAUACACAGUCAUAUGCAUAUUUAAAUUAUAUUCGAUAAUAUAAAUAUAGUUCUAUUUUCCCUUCAUGUUUUCCUAUGUCUGAUUUGGAGGUGAGGUUGUUUUCUGAGAAGGAAAUUAGUGUCGAUUCAAACUGUUUAGCAGCUUGUUCAUCUUUGGUUGCAGUAGAAUUAGCUCUCUCUCUCGCUCUCCGUAUGCAUACUAAAAUAAGAUAUCUAUGUAAUGUAGAAAAAAAUACAAGAAAAAUAAAAACGUUUACCUUGAGUAUAUACGGUGUCUUGGUUUGGACAUAUAAACUACAAAACUCAAUACAUGUAAUUUAUGUCUGAAUAUCGGAUGUGUGUGUGCUUAGAUAUGUAUGCAUAACAUGUUGGUUUAUUUCCACUAACACUUGAAGAUCUUAGGAGGCUUAUUAACAAACCUGUCUGUCUCUCAUGUGUCUGUAAUUUUAGACAUAACUUCUGUGGUUAAUUCAAUUACUGGUCAUUUGUAAUGUUAAUAAAACAACAACAUAUAUUGAAUAAGAUUUCAUAAAUUCAUAAGUGUGUGGAAAUAUCUACAUCUACUAUAUAGAUAAAUAUAAUUUUUAGAAAACAAAUCCGUAGAAGCACACACUCUAAGAUAUAUAUAUAUAUAUAUAUAUAUAUAUAUAUAUAUAUGUAUUUGUGUGUGUGUAUGUAUGAAUAUGUAUGUCUAUAUGUAUUUAUGUGUAUGUAUAUAUGUAAGUAUAUAUGUGUAUGUAUGUACAUAUGUAUAUAUAUAUCUAUAUGUAUAUAUAUAUGUAUGUAAUAUAUAUAGAGGCGCAGGAGUGGCAAUAGGCGCAGGAGUGGCUGUGUGGUAAGUAGCUUGUCUACCAACCACAUGGUUCCGGGUUCAGUCCCACUGCGUGGCACCUUGGGCAAGUGUCUUCUACUAUAGCCUCGGGCCGACUUAAGCCUUGUGAGUGGAUUUGGUGGACGGAAACUGAAAGAAGCCCGUCGUAUAUAUGUAUAUAUUUAUUAUAUAUAUAUAUAUAUAUAUAUGCUUGUGUUUGUCCCCUAGCAUUGCUUGACAACCAAUGCUGGUGUGUUUACGUCCCCGUUACUUAGCGGUUCGGCAAAAGAGACCGAUAGAAUAAGUACUGGGCUUACAAAAGAAUAAGUCCCGAUUAAAGGCGGUGCUCCAGCAUGGCCGCAGUCAAAUGACUGAAACAAGUAAAAGAGUAAAGAGUAUAUAUAUAUGUAUGUAUAUGCAUAUAUAUGUAUAUAUAUAUGUAUGUACAUGCAUAUAUAUGUAUAUAUACUCUUUUUACUCUUUUUAAUUGUUUCAGUCAUUUGACUGUGGCCAUACUGGAACACCACCUUCAGUCGAGCAAAUCGACCCCAGGGCUUAUUCUUUGUAAGCCUAGUACUUAUUCUAUUGGUCACUUUUGCCGAACCGCUAAGUUACGGGGACAUAAAUGCACAAGCAUUGGUUGUCAAGCGAUGUUGAGGGUGACAAACACAUACACACGCAUAUAUAUAUAUAUACACACACACACACAUAUAUACGACGGGCGCCUUUCAGUUUCCGUCUACCAAAUCCACUCACAAGGCUUUGGUCGGACCGAGGCUAUAGUACAAGACACUUGCCCAAGGUGCCACGCAGUGGAACUGAACCUGAAACCAUGUGGUUAAUAAGCAAGCUACUUUCCACACAGCCACUCCUGCGCAUGUAUAUGCAUAUAUAUGUAUGUAUAUGCAUAUAUGUAUAUAUAUAUGCAUAAAUAUGUAUGUAUAUGCAUACAUAUGUAUAUGUAUGUAUGUAUAUGCAUAUAUAUAUGCAUGUAUAUGCAUAUAAAUGGAUGUAUAUGCAUAUAAAUGCAUGUAUAUGCAUAUAAAUGGAUGUAUAUGCAUAUAAAUGCAUGUAUAUGCAUAUAUAUGUAUGUAUAUGCAUAUAUAUAUGCAUGUAUAUGUAUAUAUAUAUGCAUGUAUAUGCAUGUAUAUGCAUAUAUAUGUGUGUAUAAGCAUAUAUAUGUAUAUAUAUGUGUGUAUAUGUAUAUAUAUGUAUGUAUAUGCAUAUAUAUGUAUGUAUAUGGUUAUAUAUGUAUAUGCAUAUAUUUUUUAUUUAUUUUAUUUUAUCUAGUUUCAGCUCACGAGCUGUGGCCAUGCUGGGGCACCGCCAUUUGUAUAUACAUAAACAUGCAUAUAUAUGUAUGUAUAUGCAUAUGUAUGUAUUUAUAUGCUUACUAGCAGUAUCGCCCGGCGUUGCUCGGGUUUGUAAGGGAAAUAACUAUAAAGCAUUUUUAGAGAGUUAUAGCCAAAAAAUGGAAAAAAAAUGAUGGUAAUUUUUUUUUUAGUUAAAAAGGUCGAGUUGCAUCCUCUAGACAGUCUGUGGUUUGUGUUUCUGAUUCUCGACCCCAUGUCGAAUUUAUCGAUUUUUUUCAGAACUGGGGGAACUUUUCAAAAUUUUCGCUGCGUUAGUUUUGAAUUAUGACAUUGGGCUAUGUGUGUGUCAAGUUUCAUCAGAAUCGGUUGAAAGCCGUGGUCAGGGUGAGGGUACAACCUACAGACACACAGAAACACACAGAGACAAACUGCCGUUUAUAUAUAGAGAGAUAUAUGUAUGUAUAUGCAUAUAUAUGUAUUUAUAUGCUUAUAUAUGUAUGUAUAUGCAUAUAUAUGUAUGUAUAUGCAUAUAUAUGUAUGUAUAUGCAUAUAUACAUAUGUAUAUGCAUGUAUAUGUAUGUAUAUGCAUGUAUAUGUAUGUAUAUGCAUGUAUAUGUAUAUGCAUGUAUAUGCUUAUAUGUGUAUGUAUAUGCAUAUAUUUAUAUAUAUAUGCAUAUAUAAGCAUACAUAUGUAUAUAUGUGCAUGUAUAUGCAUAUAUAUGUACAUGUAUAUGCAUAUAUAUGUAUAUAUGUGCAUGUAUAUGCAUAUGUAUGUAUAUAUGUGCAUAUAUAUGUAUAUAUGUGCAUGUAUAUGCAUAUAUAUGUAUAUAUGUGCAUGUAUAUGCAUAUAUAUGUAUAUAUGUGCAUGUAUAUGCAUAUAUAUGUAUAUAUGUGCAUGUAUAUGCAUAUAUAUGUAUAUAUGUGCAUGUAUAUGCAUAUAUAUGUAUAUAUGCCCGUCAGUUCAACCUUCGUAUAUUCCCGGUGCACCCGCCCUUGCCCACCCCCACCAUCAAUACCGGAUAUCUCUAUAUUUUUGCUCCAUCUAUACCGGAUGUCGCUUCUCCCACCACCAUUAUAGGUGUCUACUCUUCGAACCCCCUCUUCAAUACGCUAUUUCACCAUGCAUUACCCCUCUCUUGAUAUCCUACGUUCUACUUGCCUAGAACCUGUCAUCAUUUCUCUGAACCACCCCUCCCCACUGGUGCUCCCCUAUAUAUUUCUGCCCCCCCCCCCAUAAAAGCACCAUCUGAACGUGGCCGAUGCCAGACCCCUCUGGCACCUGUGCAGGUGGCACGUAAAAAACACCCACUACACUCGCGGAGUGGUUGGCGUUAGGAGGGGCAUCCAGCUGUAGAAACACUGCCAGACUAGACUGGAGCCUGGGGCAGUCCCGAGCUCCCCAGACCCCGGUCGAAACCGUCCAACCCGUGCUAGCGCGGAAAACGGACGUUAAACGAUGAUGAUGAUGAUGAUGUGCAUGUAUAUGCAUAUAUAUGUAUAUAUGUGCAUGUAUAUAUGCAUAUAUAUGUAUAUAUGUGCAUGUAUAUGCAUAUAUAUGUAUAUAUGUGCAUAUAUAUGUAUAUAUGUGCAUGUAUAUGCAUAUAUAUGUAUAUAUGUGCAUGUAUAUGCAUAUAUAUGUAUAUAUGUGCAUAUAUAUGUAUAUAUGUGCAUGUAUAUGCAUAUAUAUGUAUAUAUGUGCAUAUAUAUGUAUAUAUGUGCAUGUAUAUGCAUAUAUAUGUGCAUGUAUAUGCAUAUAUAUGUAUAUAUGUGCAUGUAUAUGCACAUAUAUGUGCAUGUAUAUGCGUAUAAAUAUAUGU